ensembl:lncRNA
ACAUAACUCGAUAUAGCGUAAUAUUCUGAAACAACAUUUAUUAACACAUAUUUUAGAGCUAUUUAUCUUAUAAUAUGUAAAAGCAUUGCAUAUAUUUUGGCCUUAAUUCGUUUUUGAUUUUUAAAAAAAUGAAAUAUAUAUAGUGUCUAAUUUUACUCUUUUAAAUGUACUUGACUCGGGGGCAUAACGUGUGUGUGUGUGUGUGUGUGUGUGUGUGUGUGUUUGGAGAAAUACAGUCUGUUUGUCCUUAUCAUGCCAAAACAAUGUUUGGGUAUGACACAAAAAUACAAGAAGUGGAAUGUUAAGCACAAAACAGGGUGCUGUUUGGGACUGGGGAACAGGGUGCUGUUUGGGACUGGGGAACAGGGUGCUGUUUGGGACUGGGGAACAGGGUGCUGUUUGGGACUGGGGAACAGGGUGCUGUUUGGGACUGGGGAACAGGGUGCUGUUUGGGACUGGGGUACAGGGUGCAGUUUGGGACUGAGGAACAGGGUGCUGUUUGGGAAUGGGGAACAGGGUGCUGUUUGGGAAUGGGGAACAGGGUGCUGUUUGGGAAUGGGGAACAGGGUGCUGUUUGGGACUGAGGAACAGGGUGCUGUUUGGGAAUGGGGAACAGGGUGCUGUUUGGGAAUGGGGAACAGGGUGCUGUUUGGGACUGAGGAACAGGGUGCUGUUUGGGAAUGGGGAACAGGGUGCUGUUUGGGAAUGGGGAACAGGGUGCUGUUUGGGACUGAGGAACAGGGUGCUGUUUGGGAAUGGGGUACAGGGUGCUGUUUAGAAGAUAGAUUUGGCUGAGCGAAAAGUAAACCAAAUUAUGAUUGGUAAUUUUAUUUUGACACGAUUCAGU